AACGAACGCUGGCGGCAUGCCUAACACAUGCAAGUCGAACGAGACCUUCGGGUCUAGUGGCGCACGGGUGCGUAACGCGUGGGAACCUGCCUUUAGGUUCGGAAUAACUCAGAGACAUUUGAGCUAAUACCGGAUGAUGUCUUCUGACCAAAGAUUUAUCGCCUUUAGAUGGGCCCGCGUUGUUUUGGCUUGUUGGUGGUGUAAGGGCCUAUCAAGGCUUCGCUCCAUAGCUGGGCUGAGAGGAUGGUCAGCCACUCUGAGACUGAGAAACGGCCCAGAAUAUUAGGGGAGGGAGCCAAGGGGGAUACAGGAAAAUGGGCGAGAGGAAGAAGCAGCAAGGCUGGGAGAGUGAUGAAGUCGGGAGGGUAGUGAAGCACUUUAAUCCGAGAUGAUAAUGACGGUAUCGGAAGAAUAAGCACCGGCUAACUCCGUG
rnacentral:rRNA from 1 species